AUAUUAGCAACAUUUGUCAAUUGUCUUCACAAUAGUCUUCAACAAGAUAAAAUGUCAACAGAAAGAAGAAAAUUAUUGAUGGAGCACAUCUUCAAACUACAGGAGUUUUGUAACAGCAUGGUUAAACUCUGCAUUGAUGGAUACGAAUAUGCCUACCUGAAGGCAAUAGUACUCUUCAGUCCAGGUAUAUAAACAUUUACUUUUUAUUCAAAAUAAAAUGUUUCACGAUGUGGAGAAAUAGAAGCCCUCAUAUGUUGCAAGUGGGGAUGUAAAAUGGUGCAGUUACCUGGGAAAAGAGUUCAGUAGUUCUUCAAAAGGUUAAACAUGGAGUUAUCAUAUGACUCAGCAGCUUCACUCUUGUCAGCCCAAGAGAAAUGAAAAAUAUAUAUCUAUGCAAGAAUGUGUAUAUAAAUAGUCAUAGCAGCAUUAUUUAUAAUAGUCAAAAAGUGGAGACAACCCAAAUGU
rnacentral:lncRNA from 10 species